GCUUUUUUUAUUUUUAGAUGAUAUAUCUUCCUUCCUCUAGCUUGAGAAAUCCUUGCUUGAGCAAGAAUCAGAAAGAUUCGUCUUUUCAAUUUUCACCUGGGAUUCUUCUAUCUUCUACAUUUUUCGCUUUUGCCUCUUACUUACCAUGUUCUUACUAUUAUAUUUUUUCACUUUUUCUCGAACGCCUUUGUCCCAUACCAUGUUAGUGAAGAAAAAUACUGCUUAUUGUUUUGGAUCUCUCGCAGAUCGUUUUGUCACUGAACCAUUAAUCUAAAGGGUUGAAGAGGAAGAAUGCGAAGAGUUUCUCCGAUUGUGACUUUAUAGGGUGCUUUUCUUCCAUUGGGUCCUGCACUGAAGGUUACAAAUAGCUGAGUUGCGUUAGAUUUGAAAUUAUGAUAAAACAGAUACUUGGUAAGCUUCCAAGGAAGCCAUCUAAGUCAGCUGACCAUCGUGAAUUUGCUGGUUCAUCAUCGGCCUCGUUGCUCCAAACUACUGGUUCUAGAGCUGCUGAUGUUGUGAGUAGUGGACCAGUGAGUUCAAAUAUUACGUUUCUUCCUGGCUCAGAAGCUGCUCCCAGUUCAGCAUAUGGUCAAGGAAGUAAUGUCCCUUCAAUUGCAAACUCACGAGUGAAUGGUAGUGUGGUAAUUACUCCUUACGAAGCAUUGCCAGGGUUUAGGGAUGUCCCAAACUCUGAAAAGCAAAACUUAUUCAUCAAAAAACUGAAUAUGUGCAGUGUAGUGUUUGACUUCACUGACUCCUCAAAGCAUAUGAAAGAAAAGGAAAUCAAAAGACAGACAUUGCUUGAGCUGGUGGAAUAUGUUACCUCUGUAAAUGCCAAAUUUAAUGAAACUGUCAUGCAAGAGAUUAUCAAGAUGGUAUCUGUAAAUUUGUUCAGAUCGCCUAAUGUGCAGCCCCGUGAGAACAAGGUUUCUGAAGCCUUUGAUCUGGAAGAUGAGGAACCUCUGAUGGACCCUGCUUGGUCUCACUUACAGAUUGUGUAUGAAUUUUUUCUUAGGUUUGUUGCAUCCCCAGAAACAGAUGCAAAGCUAGCAAAGAGGUACAUAGAUCACUCUUUUGUUCUCAGAUUGUUGGAUCUCUUUGAUUCUGAGGACCCAAGAGAGAGGGAGUAUCUGAAAACAAUCCUGCAUCGGAUUUAUGGGAAGUUUAUGGUGCAUCGCCCAUUUAUUAGGAAAUCUAUUAAUAAUAUCUUCUUCCGUUUUAUUUUUGAAACGGAGAAAUUUAAUGGGAUAGCUGAGCUUCUAGAGGUACUGGGAAGUAUAAUUAAUGGGUUUGCUCUGCCACUAAAGGAAGAGCACAAAUUGUUUCUUGUCCGUGCUUUAAUCCCUCUUCACAAGCCAAAGUGCUUAGCUAUGUACCAUCAGCAGUUGUCAUACUGUAUCACGCAGUUUGUGGAAAAAGACAGCAAGCUUGCUGACACUGUGAUUAGGGGUUUGCUGAAGUACUGGCCUAUCACUAAUAGUUCAAAGGAAGUCAUGUUCCUUGGUGAGCUUGAGGAAAUACUGGAGGCGACUCAGCUUGUAGAAUUCCAAAGAUGCAUGGUACCCUUAUUCCGCCAAAUCGCCCGUUGCUUGAGUAGCUCACACUUUCAGGUUGCAGAGAGAGCCCUGUAUUUGUGGAACAAUGAGCACAUUGAGAAUUUAAUUCGACAAAACCGGAAAGUAAUCCUGCCUAUUAUCUUCCCUGCCUUGGAGAAAAGCGGACGUGCCCACUGGAGUCAGGGCGUCCAGAACCUGACACUAAAUGUUCGCAAGAUUUUCUCUGAUGUCGAUCCUGAGUUCUUUGAAGAGUGCUUGCAUAAGUUUCAAGAGGAAGAAGCAAAAUUAGAAGAGGGGAAAACAAAACACGAAGCCAUGUGGAAGCGAUUAGAAGAGAUUGCUGCUACAAAAUCUGCUAGUAGUGAGGCUAUCCUUGUCCCUACAGCUACAGCCACCCAAACAUCUUAAAAGAAACAAGUUCCGUGGUUUCUUAUUCUCUUAUUUUUCUGGCUGGCAUGCUGGCAUUAAUGGUUCAUGUGCUUCAGGAGGUUAGAUUCUCAUCUGGUAGUUGCUGAUUUUCUUUGCUGUUUGUACCUGUAAGUUUUAAGUUUCUGAGAUUUGAAUGGAUGCUUAUGGGAGACAAAGUACAUUAUGCAAUGCAGGGAAUUGGCUAGUUGGUUUUGAAUUUUGGCUUAUCCCAUUCAUAUACCAAUGGGGUUAUUAGGGAGAAGCAGAUAUAGUUCUGAGCUAUUGCUUGCAGGUACGGAUUCGAUCCCAUGGGAAGUGCCACCGUAAGGCACCCUUUGUGCCACUGCACCAUAAAGGUGCUGGCAGCUACAAUUAGCAUUAAUCACUCUCUGAGUUCACUUUGCAUUAAUCACUAGUUUGAGUUUACUUUGAACAAAAUGAUCAAUAAACUUUUCAAACUUCCUGGGUUAGCACUUGGAAUGCACCGCAAGGAUUCUGUAGUUUACUGAAAAAGGCCAAGUUAUUCUUACCUCCUGUAUGGUUUAGGGUUUUCAG